UACGAAGGGGGCUAGCGUUGCUCGGAAUCACUGGGCGUAAAGGGUGCGUAGGCGGGUCUUUUAAGUCAGGGGUGAAAUCCUGGAGCUCAACUCCAGAACUGCCUUUGAUACUGAGGAUCUUGAGUUCGGGAGAGGUGAGUGGAACUGCGAGUGUAGAGGUGAAAUUCGUAGAUAUUCGCAAGAACACCAGUGGCGAAGGCGGCUCACUGGCCCGAUACUGACGCUGGAGGCACGAAAGCGUGGGGAGCAAACAGG
rnacentral:rRNA from 1 species